GAAAGAAAGAAACAAGAAACAUUAGCUGCUCAAAGUACAUCAAUUGUGGAGGGAGGAUGAGAAAAGAAUUAGACUUGUUGAUGAAGCAUGUAUACAACAAAUCAUCUGCAAAUGAUGAACGCCCAUCUCAAGAAGACAACCAAACUUAUGAGGAUGAAAGUGAUGGUGACUCUGACGGCGUGAAUGAAAGUGAUAAUCCUGAUAACGUGAAUGAAAGUGAUU
rnacentral:lncRNA from 1 species